rnacentral:rRNA from 1 species
UACGAGGGGGGCAAGCGUUGUUCGGAAUUAUUGGGCGUAAAGAGCUCGUAGGCGGUUUGUCGCGUCUGCUGUGAAAACCCGAGGCUCAACCUCGGGCCUGCAGUGGGUACGGGCAGACUAGAGUGCGGUAGGGGAGAUUGGAAUUCCUGGUGUAGCGGUGGAAUGCGCAGAUAUCAGGAGGAACACCAAUGGCGAAGGCAGAUCUCUGGGCCGUAACUGACGCUGAGGAGCGAAAGCAUGGGGAGCGAACAGG